rnacentral:rRNA from 1 species
AUACGUAGGGUGCAAGCGUUAAUCGGAAUUACUGGGCGUAAAGCGUGCGCAGGCGGUUCGGAAAGAAGGAUGUGAAAUCCCAGGGCUCAACCUUGGAACUGCAUUCUUAACUACCGAACUCGAGUAUGUCAGAGGGGGGUAGAAUUCCGCGUGUAGCAGUGAAAUGCGUAGAUAUGCGGAGGAAUACCGAUGGCGAAGGCAGCCCCCUGGGAUAAUACUGACGCUCAUGCACGAAAGCGUGGGUAGCAAACAGGAUUAGAUACCCUGGUAGUCCACGCCCUAAACGAUGUCAACUAGCUGUUGGGCCCUUCGGGGCUUAGUAGCGUAGCUAACGCGUGAAGUUGACCGCCUGGGGAGUACGGUCGCAAGAUUAAAACUCAAAUGAAUUGACGGGG